AACGAACGCUGGCGGCAUGCCUAACACAUGCAAGUCGAACGAAGUCUUCGGACUUAGUGGCGCACGGGUGCGUAACGCGUGGGAAUCUGCCCUUGGGUACGGAAUAACUCAGAGAAAUUUGUGCUAAUACCGUAUAAUGUCUUCGGACCAAAGAUUUAUCGCCCAAGGAUGAGCCCGCGUAAGAUUAGCUAGUUGGUGGGGUAAAAGCCUACCAAGGCGACGAUCUUUAGCUGGUCUGAGAGGAUGAUCAGCCACACUGGGACUGAGACACGGCCCAGACUCCUACGGGAGGCAGCAGUGGGGAAUAUUGGACAAUGGGCGAAAGCCUGAUCCAGCAAUGCCGCGUGAGUGAUGAAGGCCCUAGGGUUGUAAAGCUCUUUUACCAGGGAUGAUAAUGACAGUACCGGGAGAAUAAGCUCCGGCUAACUCCGU
rnacentral:rRNA from 1 species